GCUGGCGGCGUGCCUAAUACAUGCAAGUAGAACGCUGAAGAGAGGAGCUUGCUCUUCUUGGAUGAGUUGCGAACGGGUGAGUAACGCGUAGGUAACCUGCCUUGUAGCGGGGGAUAACUAUUGGAAACGAUAGCUAAUACCGCAUAACAAUGGAUGACCCAUGUCAUUUAUUUGAAAGGGGCAAAUGCUCCACUACAAGAUGGACCUGCGUUGUAUUAGCUAGUAGGUGAGGUAACGGCUCACCUAGGCGACGAUACAUAGCCGACCUGAGAGGGUGAUCGGCCACACUGGGACUGAGACACGGCCCAGACUCCUACGGGAGGCAGCAGUAGGGAAUCUUCGGCAAUGGGGGCAACCCUGACCGAGCAACGCCGCGUGAGUGAAGAAGGUUUUCGGAUCGUAAAGCUCUGUUGUAAGUCAAGAACGAGUGUGAGAGUGGAAAGUUCACACUGUGACGGUAGCUUACCAGAAAGGGACGGCUAACUACGUGCCAGCAGCCGCGGUAAUACGUAGGUCCCGAGCGUUGUCCGGAUUUAUUGGGCGUAAAGCGAGCGCAGGCGGUUUGAUAAGUCUGAAGUUAAAGGCUGUGGCUCAACCAUAGUUCGCUUUGGAAACUGUCAAACUUGAGUGCAGAAGGGGAGAGUGGAAUUCCAUGUGUAGCGGUGAAAUGCGUAGAUAUAUGGAGGAACACCGGUGGCGAAAGCGGCUCUCUGGUCUGUAACUGACGCUGAGGCUCGAAAGCGUGGGGAGCGAACAGGAUUAGAUACCCUGGUAGUCCACGCCGUAAACGAUGAGUGCUAGGUGUUGGAUCCUUUCCGGGAUUCAGUGCCGCAGCUAACGCAUUAAGCACUCCGCCUGGGGAGUACGACCGCAAGGUUGAAACUCAAAGGAAUUGACGGGGGCCCGCACAAGCGGUGGAGCAUGUGGUUUAAUUCGAAGCAACGCGAAGAACCUUACCAGGUCUUGACAUCCCGAUGCUAUUUCUAGAGAUAGAAAGUUACUUCGGUACAUCGGUGACAGGUGGUGCAUGGUUGUCGUCAGCUCGUGUCGUGAGAUGUUGGGUUAAGUCCCGCAACGAGCGCAACCCCUAUUGUUAGUUGCCAUCAUUCAGUUGGGCACUCUAGCGAGACUGCCGGUAAUAAACCGGAGGAAGGUGGGGAUGACGUCAAAUCAUCAUGCCCCUUAUGACCUGGGCUACACACGUGCUACAAUGGUUGGUACAACGAGUUGCGAGUCGGUGACGGCAAGCUAAUCUCUUAAAGCCAAUCUCAGUUCGGAUUGUAGGCUGCAACUCGCCUACAUGAAGUCGGAAUCGCUAGUAAUCGCGGAUCAGCACGCCGCGGUGAAUACGUUCCCGGGCCUUGUACACACCGCCCGUCACACCACGAGAGUUUGUAACACCCGAAGUCGGUGAGGUAACCUUUUGGAGCCAGCCGCCUAAGGUGGGAUAGAAGAUU
rnacentral:rRNA from 1 species